UUGGUCACAUUAUUCAGUUUUGCUAUUUCAUUAUGUGUCGUUCGGGCCUAUUGGUUAAAUACCGAAAAAGGUGUUAAUUUAUUGUUAAUUGGAGUUUGAAAAUUUCGUUUAUAAUUGUGUUAGUGCCGUUAAUUGAAAUCGAGUUAUUAAAAUGCUUAUAAUUGCUUUAGAAUUUGAUAUGUUUGCAAGCCACCUGCUGGACGACUAGGAAGAAGAAGCACGCGAAUUUUACGCAGCAAUGCUUAAACGAGCUUAGGAAAUAGGAAAGUGAUCAAUUUCAUGUUUUAAGUGAAAUAAAUUUGUGGUUUUGUGUGUAAUUAGCAAAUACGACUGUUUAAGCGUACACACUUGCAUAUCAAAAGUCGAAGAGUAAAAUAUACAAUUCUAAAGUGCUUUCAACUGUGUGCGUGCGUAUGUACAUAUAUACAUAUGUUUUUACGUAUGUAUGUAAUUCUGUACGCAAGCCGUAGCAGACAACAGUUAUUUGUAUGCAAUACUAUACAAACUUACACACAUGCACACACAUGGAAUUUUUGCUCUUCUUUAACUUUCAUUCUUUGCUUGAAUGAAUGCGAUUCCCAUGCUCAAAUCUUUGCGGUCCGUUAUUCGUUACUUCUGGAGGCCGCCAAAGUGUCUGCUGCUCAUUACCUGCUGUGACCUUGUUUGCAGCGCUUGUUAUGACGUCAUAGCCCUUACUUAUAUUUUACCCGCUUGCUAAAAAUGUAUAUUGUUUAAUCAUGUUUGGACUGGAAAAGUGCAACCUUUAAUAAACGCAUCACUUUGAUUUAUUUGUGGUCUCGUAAGUGCAGUGCUUGGCGCAAUGUUGUGGGCGUGGUUGAGUAUGUCCAGUGUUUCAGUCUGGGUGUUGAGUGGACCCAUUCGUGCGCUGGCGCCUGGACUGUAGCUGGCAAUAACUUCUAAUUAAUACACGAAAAGCAUAACGAAAGCUAAUUAUGAAACUAAUGAGCUUGUUGGCAAUGCACGAGCACCACGAAGCGGGCAACAACAACAACUCGUAACAAGUAAAAGUGCUCCAGUCGGUCGUGCCCGACUAGUGGAUACCUUGUGGCUAAUAUCAAAUAUGAUAUUAUACGCGCAGACGGACAGACAAGCGGACAGACUUGAUUAUGCCUCAAUAUGCAUGUAACAUCCCUUUUCAAUGGGUAUACAGGGUAUAACUGCCUUAAGUGUUAACGACGCUGUGCUUAACAAGGCGAGCGCCGCCGUUCGCAGCCGCUCCAGGUGCGAAAUACCAUGAAAGAGUAAACGCGAAUGGUCGCUGCCUACCUUGGGACAUAGUACACACAUACUUGCAUACACACACACAGGUAUCGCAUACACAUAUACAUAUAUAUAUAUACGGUUAUGUAUGUACAUAUUUCAUUUCAAUUUCCUUUUUGGUUGCGCGUCUUUUUAGCAUACUUGAUUAUGGUCUUUGGCCAGCAGCAGCAGCAGCAGCAGUAGGGGCAGGAGCAGAGGCGGAGACAGCAGCAACAUAAAGAAAGGGGCUGGGCGCUGGACGUCGCCGGCCAUCAGUCACUUAUGCGCACGGCACGUCACUCAAAGCGAACACACACUCCACACGAAUCACACACACACAUACACAUGCACAGACAACACACCCAGCUAAAUAACAGAGCGGGGCACAACGCAGGCAACUUAGUUGCAACCUCGCAGAGCGUCACCCAGUCCAGAGUCGCGGUCUGAACUGAACCGAACUGAACUAAACCUACUCGUCCGCUGCCGCUACUGUCAUUAUCUUGUUAACUUGUUGUUACGUCAGCCGUUCAGUGGGUCUGCUCUUGAGCUUGUAUAUAUUGUAUUGUAGUUGCUAUAUAAGUCCUACAUACUCUGAUGAUCAUUUGAUUGCUGGUAAAACAGCCAGAGGCAGGCGAAGAAGUUUCACGUCAAUCUAAAACAAAUUCGUUGUAUUGCGAGAUAUUUGCAUCGAUUGGUUUAUUUAUAAUUAUUAUGUUUUAGAACAGUAACAGCUUCUUUAAUUCAAUUCUUAGCAAUUCUUUUAAGAAAAAACCAAGCAUUUUGUUAAAGUCAGAAGUUGUUUUAUGUAUAACUCAUUUGAUAACUAUUUCCUCUAAUAAUCUCAGCAAACCUUUUGUAAAAUCGAAUCUGUUUUCAACUUAAAAGCUUAUGAAAAAAAUUAAAACAUAAUCGGUACAUUGUGUAAUAGGCUAGAGAAAACUAUCAUAACUCAAUAAGCUCUCGGUUCAUUUGCAAACUGUGAUAUCGGUUGAAAAGCUCAAACUAGUUGAGAUUUGAAAGCCUCAAGAAAUUACAAAUACAGCAUGCAAGUCAGAGUCCAUUUCUUAAGCUGUUUCUAUAUAAAUGCCCAAGACUGUUUAUGUUGUUCUGCUCAUAUGCUUGGGCCCACAUUAGUGGCCAUUUACAGCGUGUGCAUCUUGCUUAAAUUCAUCUGCCCAGUACCUGGCCCUUGCUCAAUGUCCCCCAUACCUCAUGCCUCAUGCCGCAUGCCGCAUGCCGCAUGUGUAAUAAUAAUAUACACACAGGUGUCCCAGGGUUCUGGCCGUGGGGCAACAUCAGCUUCGUACUUCAUCAAUAAGCGGCUGGGGCGAUGGCGCUGCAUGUAGCACAUGUAGCGGCGAUUACGCGUAAUAAUCAUCAUAAUCAAAAGUCGCAACACGAAAUGAGUUUUGACUUGUUGUUGUUGCUGCACAAGGAUAACCAGUUAGGGAUUGUUAUGGUCCAGCAGCGUUGCGCGCGCUCCAUAUAGAAUUGAUUAAUAUUGGCAUUGAGCAUAGGAAAUGCUCUCUGGCGUUGGUGGUUUUCGCCAUCUCAUUACAACGAUGCGGCCCAGUGAAUUUUGUGGUAUUAGGCGCAAACAACAAGGCAGGGCAGGGCAGUGGCAUACCAAAUUUAACUUGGAUUGUGGCGUGGGCUCAUAAAAAACAAAAAAAAAAAAACUUUAUUAAUCAUAAGUAUUAAGGAAGUGUUUUUCUCGAUGCUGCCUCAUAGUGAGAAGGUUGUUUUCCUGAUGCUAGGUUAAGGUUCAGUUUCCAGUUUUAGGCUGUUAUCCACUUGCUCCCAAUCAACCAGAAAAACAUUGUGGUAGCUCUUUUCAUUGAGGUAUAAUCGAAAAGGUUUAAGUCUUAAUUCUUGUUUGUCGAAAGACUGCAAAUCGGUUCGAGCCCGAAAUUAAAAGCAAUUUUUAAGAUGAAUCACAUCUUAAACCAAAUCAGCUGCUCAAAUAUAGCCGAACCCAAACCCCAAUGAACCUCAUUCUUUUUUUUUGGGUUGAGUCCAAAUAGAGAACUUUUAAAGCGUUUGAUACCUCUCUUAAUCAGUCUUCGCCUUCUCUAUGAACAACACGCUUUAUUGUCAAGUAAUUUCAAAUUAAAAAUUACAUUUUUGAUCGUAGUUUUUAAAAUAUAUGUUAUCAGAACCUGAGUUUAAGGGAAAUCAGGCUUACGAACCAAAUCUUAACCCAGGAAACUGGUUCAAACCAUAGCUGAACGGAAAGAACCAAAGCUUACUGCAGUGGAUCUCUUUGUUAGAGUCAUAAAUAGCUUAAAUCUAGCUACAAAAAAACGGUCAAUCAUUAUAGAGGACAUGAUUUUAUACCCUCUUAUGCUGAAUUCUUUUAUAGCUAGUCAUAUAUCCAAUUUUUCGUUUAAUUUUAGUUCUUAUUUACACGUAUCAGCGUACUCGCCAUAUCUCUUGCUUUUAUUGUAUCGCAUAUUUUUGCUUUUAUUUUAAUAUCUUGUUAGUCUCAUUUUUAUGGGACACUUCAUAACGCAGCUUGUCCAGUCAUAAUCUAUUCUUGACUCACUGAAGCCAAACCCAAUCUAACUAAAUGUAACCCACUCUGAUUUUCGAUGUAUAUCGCAUGCAUAUCCAGGUGGUGCAGAGCUGAGCUCCAUAAACGCAAAAAAUAAUAAUUAACUGACCAUCAAAUCAACAGCACGUACCUUCUACGUGAGCAUCAUUUUACGAGCUGGAACUCUGUACCGCCUCUCUAUGCCGCUUGAUUACUCAUUUGCGAUAUAGUAUGUGGAUAAGUUUGGGUCUAGGGCUACGUGCGAAAAUGAAAACUACUAAAACUUGGCCAGGUCAGAAAACUACAAUCAAAGUCAAUUGCUUUUUGAGGUAGGGGUGGAUACGGGAGAUAACUGCGAGUGCAAGCGUUUAAGUGCCAGCUACCGCACUUACCGCAUAAUUAAUAUGGCGAAAUGCAAGCCAGACAAACAGACUGACAGACUGACAGACAGGGCAGGACAAACAGAACAGGCUGGACAGGCAGAAAGGACAAUGCUGUCAGUGCAGUUACACGCACAGAACAUUUGCAUUUGAUUUACGCACUGAACAAUUCCUCAGAGCUCGCAAAUGCUCUUGAUGAGAGAUGGGUGCGUGAGAAGCUUACGAAAGGGGACUAAAUUAUUUAGUUUCACUAAUAAUUUGAUCACGUAAUUUUGAAUUUUUGUAUUGCAUUAAGAAACCUACGUAAUUUUCAUUCGUGUUAGCUAUUGUCGUGUUUGAUUGUUUUGGAUCAAAAAUAGCAUACAUUUAUUUUACAACACUGUUGGAUUAGGUGAGGUUUCGCCGAGCCUGUUCGAUUUUAUUAUGUCGUGUUAGGUCGUGCUUAGUUUUCGAACCUAGUCGAAUUUCUUAACACGAACAGGUCGUGUCUAGUCUAAUCUCUGCAUGAAGAGUUGUUCCACUGAAUUCGAGCACGCACCAUAUCAAGUUUUUCAACUUGAACACGUCGUGUCUGCUCUUAAAUGUUCGUGUCACGCGCUCAUCUCUGCACGCAGCACAGCCUCCAGGGCAAACAGGCCGUCGGUUCGCCCUUAAGGCAAAGUCAAGCCAUAAAACUUUGGCUUAAGUGCAAAUGCGCUCAAAUCUGCACUUAGACAAGUGACUGUGUUGCUUCUCUGUGUGUAUUAGUGUGUGUGUGUGUGUGUAUGUGUGUGUAUAUGUAUUACUAUAAUUAAAUUGAAAAUUACUGCCAAGCAAUUGCAAUUGUCCACACGACUGGACAGUGCACCCCGGUCUACAAUGUUAAUAAUAGGUAUGUGCUUGUGAGUGUGAGUGUGUGUGUGUGUGGGCUCUAAUCAUUGUCUGUCUGUGCAUCUGUCUAUGGCAAAAUGUAUCGGAGGUUCGGCCCCAGCCACGCAUAAGUUAUAAAUUAUGCAUAGAUGCAUAAUUUACAGCUCGUAAGGUCAGACAGUUGCAUUUGCCAACAGCGCACCCCCCAAGGACCGCUGCACAACUACCAUUAGUUGUCCUACUCCCUUGCAAUUUUGGUAAUAAACCUAAUGCUGCUAUGUUUCGUAACGCCCACUUUUCUGAAAGAGCACUCUGAGUGAGAGACCAUCAGAGAGCACGUAUUAAAAUGGACAAAAUAUUUAUCAAAAAAACAAUCUUGUUAUUUUCCAUUUCGUACUUGAUCUAAAUCUACCGAAAACUGAGCUCAUGUGCUCAGCCCUAGCUUGAAGCAAACUCUUAAAUCGUCUAAAAAUUAAAAUAUAUGUCAAGCUGUUUUCUUAAUUUGUCCAGCAUUUAUAUUCUGGAUUUUCAAUACAUUAGAUUUCAAUUUUAAAUUAAUUUUUUUUAAGAACAGUUUUAUUUAUAU